CCUACGGGUGGCAGCAGUGAGGAAUAUUGGUCAAUGGGCGGAAGCCUGAACCAGCCAAGUCGCGUGAGGGAAGAAGGUACUGCGUAUUGUAAACCUCUUUUGCCAGGGGACAAAAGCGGCCACGUGUGGCCGUAAGCGUAUACCUGGCGAGAAAGCAUCGCCUAACUCCGUGCCAGCAGCCGCGGUAAUACGGAGGAUGCGAGCGUUAUCCGGAUUUAUUGGGGUUAGAGGGUGCGCAGGCGGCGUUUCAAGGCAGCGGUAAAAUGUCGUGGCUCAACCCCGGCCGGCCGUUGAGACUGGCGUGCUCGAGUGGGAGAGAGGUAUGCGGAAUUCGUGGUGUAGCGGUGAAAUGCAUAGAUAUCACGAAGAACCCCGAUUGCGAAGGCAGCAUACCGGAUCCAAACUGACGCUGAGGCACGAAAGCGUGGGUAUCGAACAGGAUUAGAUACCCGAGUAGUC
rnacentral:rRNA from 1 species